UACGAAGGGGGCUAGCGUUGCUCGGAUUGACUGGGCGUAAAGGGCGCGUAGGCGGUUCGUACAGUCAGACGUGAAAUUCCUGGGCUCAACCUGGGGGCUGCGUUUGAUACGUGCGGACUUGAGUGCGGAAGAGGGUCGUGGAAUUCCCAGUGUAGAGGUGAAAUUCGUAGAUAUUGGGAAGAACACCGGUGGCGAAGGCGGCUCACUGGCCCGUUUCUGACGCUGCAGCGCGAAAGCGUGGGGAUCAAACAGG
rnacentral:rRNA from 1 species